CAGCCGUCCACGGUAAGGUCAGCGACUGGGGUGAAGUCGUAACAAGGUAGCCGUAGGGGAACCUGAGGCUGGAUCACCUCCUUU
rnacentral:rRNA from 1 species